rnacentral:rRNA from 1 species
UACGGAGGGGGCUAGCGUUGUUCGGAUUCACUGGGCGUAAAGGGUGCGUAGGCGGUCGGGUAAGUCUGAUGUGAAAUCUCACAGCUUAACUGUGAAACUGCAUUGGAUACUAUCCGGCUCGAGGAAUGGAGGGGAGACUGGAAUACUUGGUGUAGCAGUGAAAUGCGUAGAUAUCAAGUGGAACACCAGUGGCGAAGGCGAGUCUCUGGACAUUUCCUGACGCUGAGGCACGAAAGCCAGGGGAGCAAACGGG